UUGUUUUUUUUUUUUGUGGAGGGAAUCUGUGCUCACUUCUUAGCUAAACGAACGAACAUAAUGUCGAACGCGUAGACGCGCAAACGAAGCAAAUGGCGGGAGAAGACGACGACGGCGACGCCGUUUCGUCAACCCCGGGUGGCUUCCGGCUACGCUGGGACGUGUUCCUGAGUUUCAGAGGAGAAGACACCCGCACAACAAUCACGAAGAGCUUGUACGAGGCCCUCAAAAGCCGCGGCGUCCGAGUCUUCUUUAGACGACGACGGUUUGGACCGCGGGGACGACAUCGCCCCAAGCCUGCUGGAAGCGAUCGACGACUCGGCGGCCGCAAUCGUCGUCUUGUCGCGGAGAUACGCCGAUUCGAGGUGGUGCUUGGAGGAGCUGGCUAAGAUAUGCGAGAGCAGCAGGAGGUGUCUGAUUCUGCCUGUGUUCUACCAAGUGGAUCCCUCCGACGUCCGACGACAGAGGGGCCCGUUUUCCGAACAUUUUUCAGCUCACGAACUGCAGUAUGGAAACGCCGUCGUGUCGAGAUGGAGGAGCGCCAUGGCCAAAGUCGGCGGCAAAGCCGGUUACGUUUGCGAACUCCUCCAGGAAGCAGAGGUGGUUCAGGGGUUGGUCAAAAAGGUUUUGAAUGAAAUAAGGAAAACCCCGGUAGGUCUUGCUUCCUACACAGUGGGACUUGAUUCUCGAGUUGAAGAUGUGAUGAGGUUGUUAGAUGUUCGAUCCAAUGGCGUUCGAGUGCUCGGAAUUCAUGGCAUGGGUGGUGUUGGCAAGACGACUCUUGCCAAGGCCCUUUUUAACAGACUUGUUGCUUACUUUGAGCAUCGCGGCUUCAUCUCAAAUGUUAGAGAAACUUCUGCAGGACACGAGGGGUUAGUAUCGCUUCAAAACAGACUUAUCGGUAGUCUUUCUACUGCGAAGAUGCCGGUAAAUGAACUUAACGCUGGUAUUUCUGCAAUAAAAGCGAGUGUGUACGAGAAGCGAGUUCUUAUUGUUUUGGAUGAUGUUGAUAAUGUAGAGCAACUAAGUGCUUUAGUUGGCAACAGAGACUGGUUUUAUGAAGGAAGCAGAAUCAUUGUUACCACAAGAGAUAGAAGUGUCUUGCCCGAUCAUCUUGUGAACAAGUUGUAUGAGGUCAGGGAAGUUGGAUUCGUCUCAGGCGCUUGAACUGUUUAGUUACCAUGCACUGCGAAAAGAAAAGCCCCCUGAUGAUUUCCUGGCCCUGUCCGAGCAAAUUGUGUCUCUCACAGGUGGGCUACCGUUGGCUCUUGAAGUUUUCGGCUCUUACCUAUUUUAUCAGAGGAGAAUAGAGGAAUGGAGAGACGUUCUGCAGAAACUGAAACAGAUUCGUCCCGGCAAUCUUCAGGAUGUGUUAAAGAUAAGUUAUGAUGCUCUAGACGAGCAAGAGAAGUGUAUCUUCCUAGACUUUGCAUGUUUAUUUGUGAAAAUGAAUAUGAAGAGAGAAGAUGCAAUUGACAUACUGAAGGGUUGUGGUUUUGAUGGUGAGAUAGCAAUUGCUGACCUCACCGCAAAAUCUCUCAUGAAGGUUUAUGAAGACGGCAUGCUUUGGAUGCACGAUCAAGUUAGAGACAUGGGAAGACAAAUCGUUGUACAUGAAAGCGUUGUAGAUCCUGGCAUGCGUAGUAGACUUUGGGAUCGUGAUGAAAUCUUGAAUGUCUUCAAGGAUGAUAAGGGAACAAGAUGUAUACAAGGGAUAGUCUUAGACUUCGAAUCAUCGAUAAGGAGGGUGUGGGAUCCAAGUGGUGAGAGAGUUUCGUGGGACAACUUUCGAAAAAGCCCCAGUUUUUGCUCUGCAGUAACAUACCUAAAGGAAAGGCACAAAGCUUAUCUUCAAAAUCAAGCAGAGAAAAAGAGAAAGGUUGUAAUUUGCUCCAAACCCCUUGGAGCAAUGGUCAAUCUUAGACUUCUCCAAAUUAAUUUUGUGAAUUUGGAAGGGAAGUUCAAGUUUCUUCCAGCUGAGUUGAAGUGGUUACAAUGGAAAGGUUGUCCUAUGAAAUUUCUUCCUUCUGGAUUUUUCCCCUCGGCGACUUGCUGUCCUUGAUCUUUCAAAGAGCAAACUUGUAAGUUUGUGGAGCGGGCGUAACAAGGUGCCAGAGCAAUUGAUGUUCUUGAUUCUACACAAAUGCUCUUAUCUAACUGCUAUACCUGAUUUAUCUGGUAACCGCGCCUUGGAAAAGAUUGUUCUUGAGCUAUGUGUUAAUCUCAAUAAACUUCAUGACUCGGUUGGGAAUUUGAAUACAUUAGUCCACUUGAACCUGAGAGGUUGUUCAAACCUUAUUGAACUUCCCAGUGAUGUAUCUGGCCUGAGAAAACUUGAGAACCUAUUCCUCACCGGUUGCUCAAAAUUGAAAAAACUGCCCAGCAACAUGGACAGCAUGGUAUCAUUGAAAGAACUUCUCCUUGACGAGACAGUGAUAGAGAGUCUUCCUGAAUCUAUCUUCAAGCUUACGAAACUCGAAAGGCUCAGCUUGAACCGAUGCAAAUUUUUGAAAGGGCUACCUGAGUUGAUAGGAAAGUUGUGUUCUCUCAAAGAAAUAUCCCUUAAUGAAUCAGCUUUAGAAAAACUACCCGAUUCAUUUGGAUCUUUGGCAAACCUUGAGAGACUAAGUUUGCUCUGGUGUAAUUCACUGACCACCAUUCCAGAUUCCAUUGGAAACCUGAAUUCGUUAGUGGAAUUUCUUACUUAUGGUAGUCCUAUCAAAGAACUGCCUGCGUCCAUUGGUUCAUUGUCAAACUUGAGGGAGUUAUCGGUGGGGCGCGGCGAGUUUAUGAGAGUAUUGCCUGAUUCAGUUGGAGGUUUAAAUUCUCUAGUUGUGCUACAAAUAGAUGAGACAUUAAUCACAAAUCUCCCACAUGAAAUCGGUGCCUUGAAAACACUUGAGAAGCUUGAGAUGAGGAAAUGUGGAUUUCUUAGAUCAUUACCGCAGUCAAUCGGAAAGCAUGAGGGGACUAACUGCUAUAGUCAUAACCGAUGCUACUAUCACAGAGUUGCCAGAAUCAGUAGGGAUGUUGGAAAAUCUUACCGUGUUGCGCUUGAACGGAUGUAAACAGUUACGCAAGCUUCCAGCUUCGAUAGGACAACUCAUGUCCUUGCACAGAUUGCAGAUAGCGAAUACUGCGGUAACAGAACUACCCGAGAGCUUUGGAAUGCUUUCUAGUUUGAUGGUUUUAAAUAUGAGAAAGAAGCACCAAAAGAGGGAACACACAGAAGAGAUCAAUUUUAUACUCCCAUCUUCUUUCUCAAAUCUGUCCUUGCUAUAUGAUCUGGAUGCUUAUGCUUGUAAUAUAGCUGGCAAAAUAUUUGAUGAUUUCGAGAGGUUGUCAUCACUCGAAACCUUGAACUUAAGCCGCAAUAGUUUUUGCAGCCUUCCAGCCAGUCUCAGGGGACUGUCCGUUCUUAAGAAGCUUUUGUUGUCUCAUUGUAAAAAGCUCAAGUCUCUGCCUCCGCUUCCCUCGAGUUUGGAUAAAGUGAAUAUUGCAAACUGCACCUCGUUAGAAAGUAUCUCUGAUAUUUCAAACCUGCAAAACUUGGUGGAGCUGAACCUUACAAGUUGUGAUAAAGUUGUCGAUAUUCCUGGCCUUGAAUGCUUGAAUUCCUUGGUGAGGUUGUAUGCGAGUGGUUGCAAUGCUUGCUCAUCAGUUGUUAAGAAAAGACUUGCUAAGAGCUACUUGAGGAAAAUACGCAAUCUUAGCAUGCCAGGAAGCAAGAUACCAGACUGGUUUUCUCAAGAUGUGGUUACAUUCUCGGAGAGAAAAAACUGCGUUCUCAAAAGCGUGAUCAUAGGCGUCGUAGUCUCUCUCAACCAGCAAAUACCAGAUGAAAUAAGAGAAGAACUCCCUGCAAUAGUGGACAUUCUAGCAAAGAUCCUCGUAGUGGAUUUUCCUACCUUCACUUCAGCAUUGAACUUACAGGGAGUACCAAACACAAAUGAAGACCAAUUUCACUUGUGCCGAUACCCGACGUGUCAUCCCUUGGUUUCUCAGUUAAAAGAAGGUUAUAAGAUACAUGUGACGAGGAGAGAUCCGCCAUUGAUGAAAGGCGUCGAGCUGAAGAAGUGGGGGAUUCGUUUGGUCUACGAAGAUGAUGAUGAUUACGAGGGAGAUGAAGAGUCAUUAAAUGAAAGCCAGCAAUCCUUGUCAGAAAAACUGGCCAAGUUUUUCGGCUCGUUUGAAGAAGGUGACUGCAGCUGCACACUCCUGAAUCCAGUUCUAGUGCACAUGAAGAAAUAGUUCAAGAAACCAAUACAAGUGAACGACGAUUAUCAUUAUAUGAUCGAGGGUACUUCAUUUCUUGCUUGGUAGUGCUCCCUCUCGUCUUUCUGUCAUUGAGUUGGUUAUGGCGGUGGCUAUCAACUUAAACUGUCUAGUAUCCUUCUGCGCUCGAGGUUCUGUAUUUGAUUCUCCCCUCCAUUAUCGCUUUUAUCAAAAACAGUCUGGUAUCCUUCUGCUCUGUGAAACUUUAAAACUUUUAUAUAAAUGUGUGGGAUCCAUUAAGAAGACGCUUU